rnacentral:rRNA from 1 species
AUUGAACGCUGGCGGCAUGCUUUACACAUGCAAGUCGAACGGUAACAGGGUGCUUGCACCGCUGACGAGUGGCGAACGGGUGAGUAAUGCGUCGGAACGUGCCGAGUAGUGGGGGAUAACGCAGCGAAAGUUGUGCUAAUACCGCAUACGUACUGAGGUAGAAAGUGGGGGACCUUCGGGCCUCACGCUAUUCGAGCGGCCGACGUCUGAUUAGCUAGUAGGUGAGGUAAAGGCUCACCUAGGCGACGAUCAGUAGCGGGUCUGAGUGGAUGAUCCGCCACACUGGGACUGAGACACGGCCCAGACUCCUACGGGAGGCAGCAGUGGGGAAUUUUGGACAAUGGGCGAAAGCCUGAUCCAGCCAUGCCGCGUGUCUGAAGAAGGCCUUCGGGUUGUAAAGGACUUUUGUCAGGGAGGAAAUCCCUAGUGCUAAUAACACUGGGGGAUGACAGUACCUGAAGAAUUAGCACCGGCUAACUACGUGCCAGCAGCCGCCGUAA